AUUGUAUGUGUAGAGGAAUCUCUCGUUGGAGGAUAUGUGGUCGUAAACUAUGAUGGUAUGCCAUACCCUGGUGUUGUGCAAGCUGUCGCUGAAAAUGAUCUUGAAGUACAGGUUAUGCACAGAAUCGGCAGAAAUCGCUUCUUCUGGCCGAGGAUGGAAGAUGUGCUGUGGUAUAGCCAGGACAAAAUUAUAACACUGCUCCAAAAAGAACCAGAGCAAGUUACGUCAAGACACCGACAGA